rnacentral:rRNA from 2 species
UUUUAUGGAGAGUUUGAUCCUGGCUCAGGACGAACGCUGGCGGCGUGCUUAACACAUGCAAGUCGAACGGAGAUUAGAAGGAAGCUUGCGAAUUCUAAACUUAGUGGCGCACGGGUGAGUAACGCGUGGAUAACCUGCCUGGUAGACCGGGAUAACAGCUGGAAACGGCUGCUAAUACCGGAUACGCUUAAGGGAACGCAUGUUCUUUUAAGGAAAGCAAUCGUGCUAUCAGUGGAUCCGCGUCCCAUUAGCUAGUUGGUGGUGUAAGGGACCACCAAGCGACGAUGGGUAGCCGGCCUGAGAGGCGACCGGCCACACUGGGACUGAGACACGGCCC